rnacentral:rRNA from 1 species
GACGAACGCUGGCGGCGUGCCUAAUACAUGCAAGUCGAGCGGACAGAAGGGAGCUUGCUCCCGGAAGUUAGCGGCGGACGGGUGAGUAACACGUGGGCAACCUACCCUGUAGAUCGGGAUAACAUCGAGAAAUCGGUGCUAAUACCGGAUAAUCAUUUGAAGUGCAUGCUUCGAAUGUAAAAGAUGGCUCCGGCUAUCACUACGGGAUGGGCCCGCGGCGAAUCAGCUAGUUGGUAAGGUAAUGGCUUACCAAGGCAACGAUGCGUAGCCGACCUGAGAGGGUGAUCGGCCACACUGGGACUGAGACACGGCCCUGACUCCUACGGGAGGCAGCAGUAGGGAAUCUUCCGCAAUGGACGAAAGUCUGACGGAGCAACGCCGCGUGAGUGAUGAAGGUUUUCGGAUCGUAAAGCUCUGUUGUUAGGGAAGAACAAGUGCCGUUUGAAUAAGGCGGCACCUUGACGGUACCUAACCAGAAAGCCACGGCUAACUACGUGCCAGCCGCCGCGGUAAUAC